CGGCGCCCCACCCUCGACUCCUGUUCCGCUGAGCGCGCCCUCCCCGGCGGGCGGAGACUGCAGCGCCGGGGGCUGAGGAAAGCCAUCCGACCUUGGGACUAGGGAAACGUGGACUUGGUGGGCUAUUCUGCGCUGAAGAGGCAGCAACGAGGGCUCGGUGGUAUUGGUGUUGGUCCUAGUGGAAUUGUCAAGAGGAUGCUUUUGAAGUGGCCCAGCAUCUUGGAAGUUCACCAUGCUUGCUUUGCAAGAGAUUCCUGACGCUGCAGUGAAAGAGGUCCAGUCAUUCCAGAGAGAACUUCAGUUUCAGACAAGUCAUCAAAUCCAGAAAGCAAGGAAAAAUACCCUGAAAGACGACUGGCAAAUCUCGGUGAAAGAGUAGACGCACUUCAUGGAUUGGAGUGAAUCUUAGAGCACCUGACCUGAUGCCUGGAGGUACAGCAGCCAUCUUGUGACCAUAAGGAGGAAAUCAACGCAUUAAGAAGGGAAAAGCUAAGAAGAUACAGAGAGCAGGGACCACUGACAACAUGAUCAAGCCACUCUACCAGGCCUUAACUUCCUAUUCCCUGACUUCUUAUUGAAAGAGACAAUAAAACUUCUCAUUUGUUUUAACCCAUAGAAGUAAGGCAUUCUGUUACUUAUGGGUGAACACAAUUCUUAACUGAUGCCAUGGUUUAAUGGGAGUAGGGAUCCUGGUAUGACAGGAAAUUGAGAUAAUCAGUUUAUGGCUAGUGUAGCAGCUCCAAGACACGAUUAAUGUCCCAAGCUCUUUUGCCCUCCUGACUUGCUAGCCUCAGUAUGUGGAUUUUGUUCUCCCAGUCUGAAGGCAUAACUUUUGGGGAAGAGUAAAAGAAGCCCUCUCCAGAGAUCUGCUACAUCUCAUUGGCCAGAACUCUAACAUUUGGCCGCCACUACCUAGUUGCAAGUGAAUCUGAGAAGGUGAGUGUUUUUUCAUUUCAGGCUUUAUGAAAUAGAAAGGCAAAGGAAGGGGGGUUUGAGCAGCCUUUGAACAGCCAGUUCACGUUUUUGCUAUACUGCUCUAGUCAGGUUUUCUAUUACCAGCAGCCUAAUACAAUUUCCAGGUGCCCCAAGUUGUGCUGACAACUUGGUGUAUAAGAGAGACAGUGCUUUGGGGUUAGUAUGAUCAGGGAAAGUUCACUGACAAAGUGGCAACCUAAGGCAAAUUACAUCACACUUUUUCUCUGCUUGUAAGUAAGUCUGAAUGUUCCAUGUUUUCCUGACCUAUUCUUAACCGAUUCCUGCUCCUCCUGAGUUGUUAUACAUAAAUUAGUUUUGGUUUUCUGCCUUCUUCUAAUAUAUAGCAAUACCUCUGUUUAUUGAAGGUGAAGGCAAAUACAGUUUGCAUUAGUCUGUUUUCACACUGCUAUAAAGAUACUACCUGAGA
rnacentral:lncRNA from 1 species